rnacentral:rRNA from 3 species
UUUAUUGGAGAGUUUGAUCCUGGCUCAGGAUGAACGCUGGCGGCGUGCCUAAUACAUGCAAGUCGAGCGAAUGGAUUGAGAGCUUGCUCUCAAGAAGUUAGCGGCGGACGGGUGAGUAACACGUGGGUAACCUGCCCAUAAGACUGGGAUAACUCCGGGAAACCGGGGCUAAUACCGGAUAACAUUUUGAAC